UCCGACUAUCGGCUGGGACAGUCGGAUUGAUGUGACAUGCGUAAUUACGGUGAGACAAUUUCCCAGCAGAUCUCAAUUAUUAUCUAAUUUCCAGCACGCAUAACAAUAUAAUUUUCUCAUUAACAACUAAAGCCGGUCAUAGAUAUAAAAGGUGGCUGCCAGGUACAUCCUGAAGUUGUUUCUACACUCUGGACACAGUCAGUAGACGAGGGAUUUUCGUGAAAGAAAAUGGCGAAAACUGUGCUGAUUUUCACGCUUCUCCUGCUAGCCGUCCUGGCCGUGGCUGCCGAGGAGACGACCACGGUCGCUGCCGACGCUACCACGACCCCGGCGGCCGCCAACGCCACGGCUGAUGCUGCUGACGCUACCGCUGACAAUGGCACGCCUAAAGACAAGAGCGAUAGGUGAAGAGAGUAAGGGUAGAAGGUGGAAUAAAUUAUUUGUACUUUCAGAAUAAAA